GCUUGCACUUUUCUCCGUCCUUGCGGACAGCUUGCUUUCGCCUUGCACCCAAGAUUCUCGUCCUUGGAGAUGGGGGUCCUUCCCCUUCCUCGUCUCAAGCACCCAAACUUUGGCAUCGCUAGAGUUGAAUGGCGGGAACCGGAAGUGCGUGCAGCGGCGGUGGGUCCCCGGCGAGUCGGGUCCCAGGCGAAUCGCCGGAAGUAGCAAUUGCUACGGGAGGUUUCCGCCAGCUUCGCUAUGGCGGCGAUCCCUCCAGACUCCUGGCAGCCGCCCAACGUAUACUUGGAGACCAGCAUGGGGAUCAUCGUGCUGGAGCUGUACUGGAAGCAUGCUCCAAAGACUUGUAAGAACUUUGCUGAAUUGGCUCGUCGAGGUUACUACAAUGGCACCAAAUUCCACAGAAUCAUCAAAGACUUUAUGAUCCAGGGAGGUGACCCAACAGGGACAGGUCGAGGUGGUGCGUCUAUCUAUGGCAAGCAGUUUGAAGAUGAACUUCAUCCAGACUUGAAAUUCACAGGGGCUGGAAUUCUCGCAAUGGCCAAUGCCGGGCCAGACACCAAUGGCAGCCAGUUCUUUGUGACCCUGGCUCCCACCCAGUGGCUUGACGGCAAACACACCAUUUUUGGCCGUGUGUGCCAGGGUAUAGGAAUGGUGAAUCGAGUAGGAAUGGUGGAAACAAACUCCCAGGACCGUCCUGUGGACGAUGUGAAGAUCGUUAAGGCAUACCCUUCUGGGUAGACUUGCUGCACUCUUGGGCACACCCAGGUCUUCUGAGAUGGCCCCAGUGAACCAGUUUCCAGAUGACCUAGAAUGACACGUAACUCUAAACUGCGUUUUGGUCUUGCAAAUCUGAGUCGCUGAGGAGGCCUGGGGUCUUGGGUCAUGAGAGUGGUGGAAACAUGUUAUCGCUACUUUGAGAAGUAAAGAAGGUUGUGAUUACACUGGGAAGAGAGCUACACAGGCACAGUUCCUUGUUUCUGGAUAAGUAUACCAAAUGUAUGCCGAGGUGAUCACACAUGCAACAUAUGCCAGUUUUCAUAAAGGAUGUGACCUCAAAGAGUAAAACUUGAACUGUUUCAGUUUCCAGUGAUUCUGCCAGUUAGCCAGAGAUGUAGAAAUUCCUGACUCUGUGUAAAGGGAGCUUGUGUAAAAGGAAUCCUGGUUGAUCCCUUUGUCAUACGAGUGUCCACACCCUCUCUGGAAAAGUACAGUUACGACAAGUCUUGUGGAAGUGGGGUGUGCUAGGGCACAGAUAGCUCAUUUCAGUCACAGCUUAAAUAGAUCAAGGUGAAGGUAGGUUAUGCAGAGAAUGCAGGAUGAGUUUGUAACUUAGAUGGAGAUUAAUGAAGAUAGGUUGUGGGACUGUGAGAUCUAAUCAAGGGACAGGACAUACAUAGCUUUGGUGGGAAGGUUAGGAGAUUCCAGACUUUUUAGAGAAGGCUUGAAGUUGGGAGUAGAUAAGCCAACGAAAGAAGCCUUCAAACAAGUGCCCAUGGGAUGGGUUAGAAGUUUGGUACCCAGACUGGAAAGUGCGUGGCCCCCAAGGGUCUUAGCCCAGGGCUUCUCACUCUUUGCCACGCUCAAGAAUCACUGGGGAGCCUGCUAGAAAGCAGAUCCGGAUUCAGCAUCCGGCUAGAGAUUCUGCGUUUCUAAUCAGCUCCCAGGAGAUGGUGACUGCUGGUCCAGAUACUACACUUUGAGUGGUGAGAGCCUAAAGGUCAUGUUUGUCAACAUGAAAUUGGGGUGGGGAGUGGUUCCUAGAGCUUGGAGCAAUCAGGACAAUAAACUUUUCUUCUGCCUCCUAGACCAGUAGUGGUCUUAGAAAACUGAAGGGAUUCAAAGCUCUUGGCUUUGACUGCUAAGAUUGAGCUUUAAGAAACAAUGCUCUUCCACCUUCCGUUCCCAUUUAGUACACCACGGACGUCAGACCAUGUGUGACACUAAGAUCCUGUGAGGGCACCAGAGUGGGUGAGAUGGUGUGGUUCAGUAGACAUCACAGAAAUUCAGGGGAGAGGUCGUCAGCAAUUAUGACAUUGAGGGUAAAGGGCUCUGGAACCAGACUGCCAAGAGUUCAGAGCCCAGCUUCACUGCUUAGCAGCAGUGUGAUGACUAUUAAUAGUUUCUUAAUCUCUCUGUGCCUUCGUUUCCUCAACUAUAAAAUGAGGAUAAUGGUCAUAACCUCAUAAGGCUAUUGUGAAGAUUAAAUGAGCUAGAGCAGGUACUUAGAACAGGGACCAGCAUUUAGGAAACAGCUGUCCUUAUUACCAGCGGCCCUUGAAGCCACCACAUACUUCUGCCUUUUCACACCAACGUUGCAGCAGCCUGACCUUGCACACCUCUCCCUCCCGCCGGGCUAACCUCUGAGAGCAAAAGCCCUUGUCUUAUUCCCCUCUGGGAGUUCUCUUAGCACCUUAUGCAAUUCUUUGAGGUUAUUGCUGAAUACAUCAAAUUAAAAAUUGUUCUCUGUCAGGAAAAGAUUGAGAUCCAUUUGCAGAAAUAAUAGCAUUACCCCAAGUCUCCAAACCCAGGCUUUAGCUGGUAUGGUAGCAAAGCCUUUCCACUAAGCCCUGUGGAAGUCCUCAGCUUGAUUUAUUUUUGGACUGUGUCUCCAGAAUAUGUCAAAAUAGCUUUCCCUGCACAAGGGAAACGAUUCCUACCCUCAGAUCCUCGAGCCAGUCUGAGCUGUCACCGUGGCCCCUUCUGGCACUACAUUCUUGCAACGUGUGGAGGAGGAAACAUUGAAGAGCACAUUUGUUUAAGUGGCAGAGUUUACUGCCUACGAAGCGCUUCGUGGCCUCAGAGCCCUGUUGCCUGUAGGGUAGAUUACUAUUUUUCAGGUAAAUAUCAGAUAGGGAUCUUCCAGCAACAUUUUUUUUUUUACAGAUAGGGGAGAAAAACAACAACAAAAUGAAGCAAAGUAUAGGGGAAGAAAACAUGUUAGGGUCUCACUCUAAGGCCAGCUUGGUCUGAUUUUGAAAAAUGGGUCCUUAUUUGUUCUUCCAAGUAGGUAAUCCAUGAUCCCUAACUGAAACCACAGAUGGCCAGUUUUGGGUCAGGUUUGUGGACAGUGAGAUGUGAGGCUUUUGUGUGACCUUGGGCGAAUCACUUUACCUCUGAAACUUGGUUUUCUCAUUCAUCAAACGAAGAUCAGAGCAAGGCCCCUAUUAGCCCUAAAUUUCUGAAUCUAGGUCAUUCUGAGAAGAUUCCUUCAGCUGCCGAAUUUCCAUUUAGAAUGCUGUUUUGGAAAUAUGCCACUAGAGGCCAGUGUGAAUACAGUUUAGCCUUGCAGCUUCUUCAAAAGACAGAUGCCUACCAAUGCCUUUUCAUGAUUCUAAGCCAGGCCUGGCACCCCUUGGGUGUGGAAAACCAGCAGCUGCUCAGACUGAGUGGGGCCAGAAUUGAGACAUCAGCCUGGCAUUGAACAGGCCUGGGAAGGCUCUCUGUCGGCACAGGCCCACCAGCCCGCUUUCCUGUCUACUGGACUAGAUGGAGGAGAAGCCCUCCGUGCAUGGUGAGGGUGGUUGAGCCCCUGUGCCCCGGGCCUGGUUCUGUAGCAUGCCUCAUUGUAAAGAGCCAGUUCCCUCUUAGCCACUUAAUAUUGCACUUUACAGUUGAAGCCAUUCAUUCAGCAAGUAAUCUUGGAGCCCCUCUUUUGGGCCCAGCAAUAGCAAAUAUUUUCAGAGUCAACCAGAAGGAACCUUAGAGGACUUCCCUGGUGACGCAGUGGGUAAGAAUCCGCCCGCCUGCCAGUGCAGGGGACACAGGUUCGAGCCCUGGUCUGAGAAGAUCCCACAUGCCGCGGAGCAACUAAGCCCAUGCGCCACAACUGCUGAGCCCACGUGCCACAACUACUGAAGCCCGUGCGCCUAGAGCCUGUGCUCAGCAACAAGAGAAGCCACCACAAUGAGAAGCCCGCGCACCGCAACGAAGAGUAGCCCCCGCUUGCCGCAACUAGAGAAAGCCCGCGCACAGCAACAAAGACCCAAUG